rnacentral:rRNA from 1 species
GAUGAACGCUGGCGGCGUGCUUAACACAUGCAAGUCGAACGGAAAGGCUCCUGCUUGCAGGGGUACUCGAGUGGCGAACGGGUGAGUAACACGUGGGUGAUCUGCCCUGCACUUCGGGAUAAGCCUGGGAAACUGGGUCUAAUACCGGAUAGGACGAUGGUUUGGAUGCCGUUGUGGAAAGUUUUUUCGGUGUGGGAUGAGCUCGCGGCCUAUCAGCUUGUUGGUGGGGUAAUGGCCUACCAAGGCGUCGCCGGGUAGCCGGCCUGAGAGGGUGUACGGCCACAUUGGGACUGAGAUACGGCCCAGACUCCUACGGGAGGCAGCGGUGGGGAAUAUUGCACAAUGGGCGCAAGCCUGAUGCAGCGAAGCCGCGUGGGGGAUGACGGCCUUCGGGUUGUAAACUCCUUUCGCUAGGGACGAAGCGCAAGUGACGGUACCUGGAGAAGAAGCACCGGCUAACUACGUG